rnacentral:piRNA from 1 species
UGGGAUGUAAUCGGAUCCAAAUGGUAUCACC